AAGAUGCUGAAGAUUUGUUAACAUAGACAACCACCAUCACCAAAAGCGAAAACCACAAUAGAAGUUGACAAAAUCGUGCAAGAAAGACAACACAAAUACCUGAUUAUAAUUGUGCAGGAUAUGUUACAAAGUUGAUACAAGUACAGUACAUUAAAAUAUAAAAUACAUAGGCAGUUAGAAAAUAUAAAUGGUUUAAAAAUACAAAAUACCUAUAGUUUUUGUAUUUAUAGUUCUACUUAUGUAUUGGACAAGCAGCAAAGUGUUUUAUAACAAAAAGUGUAAAGCGAAGGUAAAUAAAUUUAAAAGCGCAACAAAAUAUUUAAAAUGUGAUUAUCUGAUUUUAAUUUUAUUCAGGGUAAUUCACCAAAUAUGCUCACUUCAUUUUUCUCUUUAAUAAUGAAUUUAUUUAAAUUCUAAUUUUCGAAUAAAUUUAAAAACCAUACUUUUAAAUUCUUGUAGUUUUUUGUAUUUCUUAAACAAUUUUUAAGGUGAUAUACACUUUUUUUUUCAAAUAAAAACCCCCUGUUAGGUCAACUAUUUAAUUUUUAAUUUUGGUGUAAGUAUCUAGCUUAAAAUUUAAACUAGUAGUUUUUCAAUUAUUAAAUUAUUAAUAAUAAUAAUAAUAGUCAUUAGAAUUGCAGGAUAAAACAAAAAAUAUAAAACUAAUGUAACAUUGGAUCUAGUAUUUAUUAUACUUGAGCCAUUUUUACAAAUUAUACACGCUGAUAGAAAUAUAAUAAUCACUAAAAUGUAUAAAUCACCAUAUUUUAUAACCAUAUAAAUGAAAAACUACACGUUCGAAUUUUUAUGUUGAUACUUCAACAUUUUUAGAAAAUUUAUACUGCUUAAUAAUUUACAGUAGUAAAGAGAGUUCUCAUUUGAAAAAUAAAGGUUAGUAUCUUCACGAUAAACUCCUUUAAACAGUAAAUUGAAUCACAAUAAUUUUAAAACAUGGUCUAAGGUCUUUAAGACUGUAUACUUUUUUAAAAAUUUCAAAAAUUUGAUUUUAAAUAACCACAUUAUUGAAAAAAAAGGGAUUUGCAUUAUUGGUAAAUCAUCCUGUAUAUAGAAAACAGAUACUUGUGCAUAGUAAAACUAUAUAUAUGAAACAGAAAAUCAUAGUAAACCAGAUUAUUAAAAGUGGAAAAUGAUAAAAUAGGUAGUAUAUUUUUCCGUAAUUUACAAAUAAACGAAGAAGUAAAGAAACAGUCACAUAUACGUAUUACAUACCCACAAAAAUUACACGUAAAAAACGCAUCAUUAAUUAUUUUAAAACUGAGUAAUUAUUCAAUUAAUCUAAUUGAUGUAAAUUUAAUAAAAAUUCAAAAUGGAAAGUUCAAAUAUUACACUUAGAUUCGGCCAGUAGACUUAGUAUAAGCAUUGCUUAUAAAUUAUAAUUUAUAAAAUAUCAUAUAAUAUGCAGGUAGUGUAUUCAUUUUAUUGCAUAUACAAUAAAAUAUACUUUAUGUUUAUAAUAAAUGGUAUUAGUAGUUAGAUUAAACAUUUAUAAUAUCGAAUAAUGUGACAUUUAUAAAUUAUUACUAUAUUACUGUACCAAUUUACCUAUAAGAGUUAUUGUAAAGUUAAUACUCAUUAUUAUUAAAUCGAUAUUUCAAACGGUUGAGUCAGAAGAAAGCAUUUUAUGUAGAUACAUUAUAAUGCAUUUAUUUUUAAAAAUUACCACCACCUAAUUAUACUACAUGACUAAUAAAAAUCUACAAAUAUGCGUUUUAUGUUAUAAGAUAUCCAUAAUUUAAAAAAAAACUACGAUGACUUAAAAAAAUCCAAGAAUAAUAUGAAAUAAUUAUAACGAUACCACUACUAUUAUAUAAAUUAAAUUUAUGACUUACGGAGAACACGGAGAUCUAUGUAGUCAUAAGUUGAACCGUACGGACUAUGAACUUUACAUAAAUAACGACCAGUGUCCUUUAAACGUAAGUUUCGUAAGCUUAAUACGUCUCCUCGUAUUUGACUAUCAUGUGGAAGUGGUGAUCGGUUACGACUCCAUUUCACGGUGUAUUGCUAUUGAAAGUGUUUAAAUAUCGAUGUGUACAAAGAUCUAUUUAUUAUGAAUUAUAACUAAUAAUAUUACUCACUUCGCUUGAUCUGGGAAGCACACACCGGAGAUUAGUGUGUCCACCUUCGAUUACUUCUCGGUUGCGACCAACAGCUCUGAUUAUUGGAGCAGGACGAUCUCGUGAGUUAUCUAAACAGUAUAGGUAGGUACGUAAUUUAUUAACUAUAUUAUAUGUAAUAUAGGUACCUAAAAUUAAACUAUUCAAAACUAUUCAAACUAAACUAUUCAAAAUCAAAACAAACGAUAUACCUAAAUAUACUCAAUUAUAUAAGGACAAACCAAUUCUAUUUUUCUUCUCCAAACACGUUUCUUCUUCGUCCGAACCGUCGGAACAGUGAGGUAUACCAUCGCAAUAUUGUGUAUAAUAAAUGCAUCGCCCGUCGUUACAGCGGAACUCGUCAAUCAGACAAGAUGCUGAAGAUUUGUUAACAUAGACAACCACCAUCACCAAAAGCGAAAACCACAAUAGAAGUUGACAAAAUCGUGCAAGAAAGACAACACAAAUACCUGAUUAUAAUUGUGCAGGAUAUGUUACAAAGUUGAUACAAGUACAGUACAUUAAAAUAUAAAAUACAUAGGCAGUUAGAAAAUAUAAAUGGUUUAAAAAUACAAAAUACCUAUAGUUUUUGUAUUUAUAGUUCUACUUAUGUAUUGGACAAGCAGCAAAGUGUUUUAUAACAAAAAGUGUAAAGCGAAGGUAAAUAAAUUUAAAAGCGCAACAAAAUAUUUAA